rnacentral:misc_RNA from 1 species
GAUGAAGAACGUAGAGAAAUGCGAUACGUAAUGUGAAUUGCAGAAUUCAGUGAAUCAUCGAGUCUUUGAACGCACAUUGCGCCCCCUGGUAUUCCGGGGGGCAUGCCUGUCCGAGCGUCAUUGCUGCCCUCAAGCACGGCUUGUGUGUUGGGCCUCCGUCCUCCUCCCGGGGGACGGGCCCGAAAGGCAGCGGCGGCACCGCGUCCGGUCCUCGAGCGUAUGGGGCUUCGUCACCCGCUCUUGUAGGCCCGGCCGGCGCUUGCCGACACAUCAAUCUUUUUUCCAGGUUGACCUCGGAUCAGGUAGGGAUACCCGCUGAACUUAAGCAUAUCAAUAAGCGGAGAA